rnacentral:rRNA from 1 species
CGUAGGGUGCAAGCGUUAAUCGGAAUUACUGGGCGUAAAGCGUGCGCAGGCGGUUUUGUAAGACAGGCGUGAAAUCCCCGGGCUCAACCUGGGAACUGCGCUUGUGACUGCAAGGCUAGAGUACGGCAGAGGGGGGUGGAAUUCCACGUGUAGCAGUGAAAUGCGUAGAGAUGUGGAGGAACACCAAUGGCGAAGGCAGCCCCCUGGGUCGAUACUGACGCUCAUGCACGAAAGCGUGGGUAGCAAACAGGAUUAGAUACCCUGGUAGUCCACGCCCUAAACGAUGUCAACUAGGUGUUGGGUGGGUAAAACCAUUUAGUACCGGAGCUAACGCGUGAAGUUGACCGCCUGGGGAGUACGGCCGCAAGGUUA